rnacentral:rRNA from 1 species
UACGUAGGGGGCUAGCGUUGUCCGGAAUCAUUGGGCGUAAAGAGCGCGUAGGCGGCCCGGUAAGUCCGCUGUGAAAGUCAAAGGCUCAACCUUUGAAUGUCAGCGGAUACUGCCGGGCUAGAGUCCGGAAGAGGCGAGUGGAACUCCUGGUGUAGCGGUGGAAUGCGCAGAUAUCAGGAAGAACACCAAUGGCGAAGGCAGCUCGCUGGGACGUGACUGACGCUGAGAUGCGAAAGCGUGGGGAGCAAACAGG